GGGGAAUUAGCUCAAAUGGUAGAGCGCCGGCUUAGCAUGCGAGAGGUGGCGGGAUCAAUGCCCGCGAUUCUCCA